UACGAAGGGGGCUAGCGUUGCUCGGAAUCACUGGGCGUAAAGGGUGCGUAGGCGGGUCUUUAAGUCAGGGGUGAAAUCCUGGAGCUCAACUCCAGAACUGCCUUUGAUACUGAAGAUCUUGAGUUCGGGAGAGGUGAGUGGAACUGCGAGUGUAGAGGUGAAAUUCGUAGAUAUUCGGAAGAACACCAGUGGCGAAGGCGGCUCACUGGCCCGGUACUGACGCUGAGGUGCGAAAGCCAGGGAGCAAAGCGGGAUUAGAUGACCCUUGUAGUCCCUAGAACCAACGUCUCUCGCUACCCGUCGA
rnacentral:rRNA from 1 species